AUGUUGCAAAGAUCUUAUGCUUUCAAAUACACAUUUUCUUUAAAAGUUUCUUUUACAAGAGCUUUCAAAUUUGUAAGUCCUAAGUUUUUAGGAUACAAGACUGAAAUGGAUCCUAAUCUAAGUCCUAAUAUUGCUAAUGAGGUAUUCAUCUUCACUUCUCCAAGUUCCCUCCAAGACUCAUUCUUCUUCCAUCUUCAAGCUCGCCAUAGCCAUUGCCUCAACUUCAUCUUCAAAUUGUUCUCUCAUCCUUCUUCAAGCAUUCCUCCUUGCUUUUUUCUAGCUCGUCCAUCAAGUUUAUGA